rnacentral:rRNA from 2 species
AUACCGGCAGCUCGAGUGAUGGCCGUUCUUAUUGGGCCUAAAGCGUCCGUAGCCGGCCACGCAAGUUCGUCGGGAAAUCCACACGCUCAACGUGUGGGCGUCCGGCGAAACCUGCGUGGCUUGGGACCGGACGGCCCGAGGGGUACGGCCGGGGUAGGAGUGAAAUCCUGUAAUCCCGGCCGGACCACCGGUGGCGAAAGCGCCCCGGGAGGACGGAUCCGACGGUGAGGGACGAAAGCCAGGGUCACGAACCGGAUUAGAUACCCGGGUAGUUCUGGCCGUAAACGAUGCCCGUUAGGUGUGGCGUAGGCUACGAGCCUACGCUGUGCCGCAGUGAAGACGCUAAACGGGCCGCCUGGGAAGUACGUCCGCAAGGAUGAA